rnacentral:rRNA from 1 species
GACGAACGCUGGCGGCGUGCUUAACACAUGCAAGUCGAACGGAAAGGCCCUGCUUUCGUGGGUGCUCGAGUGGCGAACGGGUGAGUAACACGUGAGUAACCUGCCCUUGACUUUGGGAUAACUUCAGGAAACUGGGGCUAAUACCGGAUAGGAGCUCCUGCUGCAUGGUGGGGGUUGGAAAGUUUCGGCGGUUGGGGAUGGACUCGCGGCUUAUCAGCUUGUUGGUGGGGUAGUGGCUUACCAAGGCUUUGACGGGUAGCCGGCCUGAGAGGGUGACCGGCCACAUUGGGACUGAGAUACGGCCCAGACUCCUACGGGAGGCAGCAGUGGGGAAUAUUGCACAAUGGGCGGAAGCCUGAUGCAGCAACGCCGCGUGCGGGAUGACGGCCUUCGGGUUGUAAACCGCUUUCGCCUGUGACGAAGCGUGAGUGACGGUAAUGGGUAAAGAAGCACCGGCUAACUACGUG